rnacentral:rRNA from 1 species
AGUUUAACUGGGGCGGUUGCCUCCCAAAAUGUAACGGAGGCGCCCAAAGGUUCCCUCAGCCUGGUUGGCAAUCAGGUGUUGAGUGUAAGUGCACAAGGGAGCUUGACUGCGAGAGUGACAGCUCGAGCAGGGACGAAAGUCGGGACUAGUGAUCCGGCGGCACGUUGUGGAACGGCCGUCGCUCAACGGAUAAAAGGUACCUCGGGGAUAACAGGCUGAUCUUGCCCAAGAGUCCAUAUCGACGGCAUGGUUUGGCACCUCGAUGUCGGCUCGUCGCAUCCUGGGGCUGGAGUAGGUCCCAAGGGUUGGGCUGUUCGCCCAUUAAAGCGGCACGCGAGCUGGGUUUAGAACGUCGUGAGACAGUUCGGUCCCUAUCUUCCGUGGGUGUAGGAUACUUGAGAGGAGUUGCCCCUAGUACGAGAGGACCGGGGUGAACGUUCCACUGGUGGACCGGUUGUUGCGCCAGCAGCAGUGCCGGGUGGCCAUGAACGGACGGGAUAACCGCUGAAGGCAUCUAAGCGGGAAGCCCCCCUCAAAACAAGG